GAUACUUGGUUGAGGAGAUAUGAAUUUUUGAAUUGAGGUGUGACAAUUUGUGUCACACCAAGCUUGAUGAAUUUCAUGAUUUUAUUUUUCUAGCUUAGGGAUGUUAGAUUGAGCCAAUUUUUUGCAUGAAUGAACAUAUGUAUGUUGAGAUCACAUGUGAAUUUUUCUGGAAUUAUUGAUGGCAUUUCCUAAUUGAUUGGAAUUUUC
rnacentral:lncRNA from 1 species